rnacentral:rRNA from 1 species
UACGGAGGGGGCUAGCGUUGUUCGGAAUUACUGGGCGUAAAGCGCGCGUAGGCGGAUCUGCAAGUCGGGGGUGAAAUCCCGAGGCUCAACCUCGGAACUGCCUUCGAUACUGCGGGUCUCGAGUCCGGGAGAGGUGAGUGGAAUUCCUAGUGUAGAGGUGAAAUUCGUAGAUAGUUAGGAAGGAACACCAGUGGCGAAGGCGGCUCACGUGGCC